CGGCGACCGGCGCACGGGUGAGUAACACGUAUGCGACCUGCCCGUAGCGGGGGGAUAAGCGGAAGAAAUUCCGUCUAAUACCGCGUAAUAUCUUUCGGGGGCAUCCCUGAGGGAUUAAAGGAAGUGAUUCCGGCUACGGAUGGGCAUGCGGCGCAUUAGCUAGUCGGCGGGGUAACGGCCCACCGAGGCGACGAUGCGUAGGGGUUCUGAGAGGAAGGUCCCCCACACUGGUACUGAGACACGGACCAGACUCCUACGGAAGGCAGCAG
rnacentral:rRNA from 1 species